ACUUUAAAUGGAUGAAUUUUAUGGCUUGUUCAUUUUAUCUUAAGUUUAGGAUAACUGAAAAAAAACAAAACCUCAAGGAUGCAUGGGAUAAUUUAGAAAAGUCAAAUACAUGAGUAAUUGAAAAAAAAUAUAUAUAUAUGGGUAAUUAAGGUAACAGAAGAAGCAGGGAGGAGAGAUAGGCAAGAAAGACCUCCUCAAUCAAGUGGAAGAACAGCAAGUACAAAGGCCCUGAGGUAGAAGCCUCCUUUGCAUGCAGUUAUCUGGAGCAAAGUAAUAGGCAAUGAGUAUAGAAAGAUAACCAGAGUCAGUCGGGCGUGGUGGUUCACGCCUGUAAUCCCCGCACUUUGGGAAGCUGAGGCGGGCGGAUCACGAAGUCAGGAGA
rnacentral:lncRNA from 1 species